rnacentral:lncRNA from 1 species
AAACAAGAGAAAUUAGAGCUUUAAAAAUUUAAAAAAUUUAAAAAGAUUUUAUCUAUUUUAUAGCAAAAUUCUAUUUCCAUAUUAUAUGUGUAUUAUCAAAUUUAGUCUUAAGCAAUAAGCACACCCCAUAUUUCUAUGCACACACCUAUUAUGUGUAUACACACAUAAGGCCUUGAUUGGAUGUUCCAAACUCCAUCUAAUACUGGCCCAAGUCUCAAUCCUCUUCCCUUCUUCCUUGCCUUGGUGUUUUCUUGUCCUUCCUUAUCGUUGCAUAGG